GGAGAGGUGGCAGAGUGGUUUAAUGCAGCGGGCUAAAAGAAGAAGCCCGCUUCGCCAGUACUCCUGGCGUCGGAGGUUCGAAUCCUCCCCUCUCCG
rnacentral:tRNA from 1 species